GAGGGGAGGUUAAAUCCAACAAGAACUGCUAACUCUCGUGUCUGAGUAUAAAACCUCAGUCCCCUUA
rnacentral:tRNA from 1 species